UAGCUGCAUGUCAUUCCUUAGCUCAUCUCCGUUGCUGCCCACUGACCAUUAUACAGAGAGAGAGAGAAAGUGAGAAGGACGGAUGCACUUGUCUGCCUGUCUGGUUUUUUCGUUUAUUUAUUGUUUCCACUUUGUGAAUUUUCCGGGGCGAAACACACAGAGGAACAACAGAGCUUCCAGUAACCAGUGGAACAGAUGUGUGAUGUGUUGUGUGUCAUGUAUCUCCCUCUCUCUCUUUCUCUCUCUCCUCCCCCUCUCUGUUGUGUAUAUGAAGUAUGACAACAGGCUCAGUGGACUUUCUCUACUGUCUGUGUUUGCUGUGGUCUCAGAGUACGACACACACGCAGCUGAGUGAGAAAAUGCAAGAGUCGACAUGUCCUCCUGAAGCUCACACAAUAUGCCAGCUUUCGGUCUUGAACUACAUUAGCCAUGUACAGAAGACACGUUCCAAGUGUGUGAAUAAUACCGCUCGCAUUGCUGCGACUCCUGCAUGCACACGCAAAAUCAUGCUUCGAGUAUAAAUUUGCAUCGGGCCAGAUGACUUCUCAGCAUGGAUUAUUUUCCAGUAACAACACCUCCCACUAGACCUUAGACGUAUAAUGUAAAAUCUGGAGAGAAAAGCCAUGAUGUCUAAAAGAUAUAAUGUCCAGCCUGGAUUGUUAUACUGUGCACUGGGGCUCAAGCAGAUAAUUCUCUGGGUUGUUGAUUGGAGGAUCAGAGUUCGAGCCCCAGCACUGCCAAGCUGCCACUGUUGGGCCCUUGAGAAGGCCCUUAACCCUCUCAGCUCCUUUGGACCCCAACCUCCAAAGUUGGAAUAUGCUAAGAAAGAAUUUCACUGUGCUGUAAUGUAGAUGUGACAAAAUAAAGGCUUCUGUGCUAUAAUGUCAUUUUUGGAGUCGUUUGACCAAGUGAAGUGGCCAAGUGCAGUGAACAGGAAAAGCUUUCUAAUUGCACACUGUAAAACCUUCUUAAAACAUCAUAAUAUAUAUACAACCUGAGACCGUGAAACAUUAUUUUAUCAAGCUAAAUGAUUUUCAUAUCUUUCACAAUUCCAUCUGA